UGCUUCUUCAAAUGAAAUCUUAUUUGGAAUUCCAACACACAUCACAGAUGAAAAUAGAAGGCUUCCUUGAGGAAGAAGGCAACAGAAGAGGAAUCAAAAGGUUCAUUUCUGGAAUCAGAUCCAUGUAACAGGCUUUUUAAAUUACCCUGCGAAUGAGUUUCCUCUCCAGCAGAGCGACGGAAACCUAACAAACCUUCUAAGUGGUACCCUGGCUGGUGUUAAAUUGAUUCAAAGGCUGAGGUAUGUGACUAUGUCAGGAGGGGCGGGGGCCCGGGGCUGUCUGGCUAUAGGAGUGUGCAGAGAAAAUGCCAGCACCUGUCUCUCUGCGCCCUGACCUGGGUGGAACAGACCAGAGAGCUGGCAGCUGAGACGGUGCUUACAGCCUGGGGAGAGGGAGCACUUUCCUUUGGAGACAAAGGGUGUGACAGCUCUCUCAGGCCUCCAAAAUCCAGCCAGCCCUAGGCUGAAGCAUUCCGGAGAAAUCUCUCCUAGAGGAGGUUCUCUAAGCCCAGGGGCGUGGUCUCAGGGUGGAUGGCAGCUAGGACGGGUCUCUAUCCUCACCAUGGCCACCCUUUUGAGGCCACCCUCACACUGUCCAUUCUUAAUUAUCUUUUUUAUUUUUUUGAAAUGAAGUUUUACUCUUGUAGCCCAGGCUGGAGUGCAGUAGAGGGAUCUUGGCUCACUGCAACCUCCACCACCCAGGUUCAAGCAAUUCUCCUGCCUCAGCCUCCUGAGUAGCUGGAAGUAUAGGCUCGUGCCACAUCUGGCCAGUUUCUUUUUUCUUAGUAAAGACAGGGUUUUGCCAUGUUGGCCAGGCUAGUCUUGAACUCCUGAACUCAGGUGAUCCAUCCACCUCGGCCUCCCAAAGAGCCGAAGUUACUGCCGUGAGCCUCCGUGCCCAGCACACUGUCUGUUCUUGAGAUGGGCAACUAGGCAGCAUGAGCUGCCCAGGCCUUGGGUCUGUUUUAUCUUCUGUGUUCUUUUUCUAUCUUCUCUUUUUUAAAUGCAUUGUAAAUGCGUCCAACAAAUGGCUAGUGUCCAGAAUCUACGAGGAAGAUAAACAACUCAAGAAGGAAAAAACAAACAACCCCAUUCAAAAGUGAGCAAGGGCCGGGAACAGACAUUUUUCAAAAGAAGACAAACAAGCAGCCAAAGAACAUUGGAAACAAUGCUCAGCAUCCUAAUCAUCAGAAAAGUACACAUUAAAACCACAGUGAGACACCAUCUCAUUCCAGUCGGAAUGGCCACUAGUAAAAAGUCAUAAAACAACAGAUGUUGGAAAAAAUGCAGAGAAAAGGGAAUGCAUAUACAUCACUGGUGGGAAUGUCAAUGGGUACAACCUCUAUGGAAAACAGUAUGGAGACAUCUCAAAAAAAGUGAAAACAGAAAUAUCCUUCAGUCCUAUAAUCCCACUACUGGGUAGCUAGCCAAAGGAAAAGAAAUCUUAUCAAAAAACACCUGUCAUAUGUUAAUCACAGCACUAUUCACAAUACACAGUCAUGGAAUCAACCUAAGUGUCUACCAACAGAUGUUUGGAUAAAGAAAAUGUGAGAUAUGUACAUGUCUCUCAUAUACAUCUCACAUUUGGUUGUAGUAGUAGUUCAUGGUGUGUGUGUGUGUGUAUACAAAAGAUCAUAGACUGGGUCAUUUAUAAAAGCAGAAAUUUAUUUCUCACAGUUCUAGAGGCUGGGAAGUCGGAGAUCAAGGCAGCAGUUGGUUUGGUGUCUGGAAGAGCCCCAUUGCUCAAAGAUGUUGCUACACACACACACACACACACACACACACACACACACCAUGGAAUACUACUCAGCCAUGAAAAAGGAUGAAAUCGUUUUUUGCAGCAGCACAGAUGGAACUGAAGUCCAUUGUCCUAAAUAAAAUGACUCAGAAACGAAAAGUCAAAAACUAUGUUUUCUCUCUUAAAAGUAAGAGCUAAACAAUGGGUACACACAGAUAUAUAGAGUGGAAUUAUACACAUUGGAGACUGCAAACAAUGAGAAGACAGGAGGGAGCUGAAGGAUGAAAUACUGCCUAGGAGGUACAGUGUGAACUAGUUGGGUGAUAGGUACACUAAAAGCCCAGACUUCACUGUUAUGUAACACACCUGCACAUGUACCCCCAAAUCGAUAAAAAUUUUUAAAAAUCAAAUUAAAAAUGGUAAAAAUGCAUUAGGAGCACUAUUCACCAUAGCCCAAAGUGGAAACAACUUGAAUGACUAUCAGCUAAUGAAUGAAUAAACAACAUGUAGGCUAUCCACACCAUGGAAUAUUAUUCAGCCAUAGAAAAAAGUGAAGUACUGAUGCAUUCUACAGUGUAGACGAAUCUCAAGACGUCACACUAAGUGAAAGAAGGCAGCCACAAAGGACCAUAUAUCGCAUGAUUCCAUUUAUAUGAAGUGUCUGGAAUCAGCAAAUCUACAGAGACAGAAAGUAGCUUAGUGCUUGCCUAGGGCCCAGGGCUAUUGGGCUUGAGGGUGACAGAUAAAAGGUGGGGCUUCCUUUUUAAGUGAUGAAAAUGUUCUAAAAUUGUGGUGACAAACUGUGAAUAUACUAAAACCCAAUGAGGUGUGCAACAAAUUGCAUGGCAUGUGAAUUAUAUUCAAAAAAGCUGGUUUUUAACUAUGCAUUGUAAGCAUGGGGUGGAGGGCGGAAUUCGUAGCACAGAUAUGACCUUCAAUUCAGAAAAGGAGAGUUCAAAUGCCAGUUUCAAAUUCUCCUGCUUCAGCCUUCUAGGUAGAGCUGGAUAUAUGGCACAUGCCACCACCAUACACGGCCAAUCUUUUUAUUAUUAAUAUUUUUAAAUACAGACAGGGUUUCACCAUGUUGGCCAGGCUAGUCUCGAACUUCUGACCUCAGGUGAUCCACCUGCCUCAGCCUCCCGAAGUGCCAGGGUUACAGGUGUGAGCAACCGUGCCCAGCACAAUGUCUGUUCUUGACAUGGGCAAGUAGGCAACAUGAGCUGCCCAGGCCUUGGGUCUCUUUUAUCUUCUGUGUAUCCCUGGACCCCCUGGGCUUACAGGACCUCCUCUAUCAAAGACUUCUCCAGAAUGCUGUAGCCUAGGGCUGGCUGGACCUCUGGAGGCCUGAGAGAGCUACCAUAGCCUCUGUUCUCCAAGAGAAGUUUCUCCCUCUCCCCAGGCUGCAGAUUCCAUACCAAGACUUCCACACUGAAUAGCCUUGGGCAGAUCAUUCAACCCUUCUUGGCCUCUAUUGACUCAGCUGUAAAGUUGGGUGAAUGCUGUUCACCUUAAAAGGUAGGUGUCUUAUUCCAUUUGCUGGGUAAUUUAUCAAGAAAAGAGGUUUAUUUGGCUCACAGUUGUGCAAGUUGUACAAGAAGCAUGGUGCCAGCAUCUGCUUCUGGUAAGGACCUCAGGAAGUUUCUACUCAUGGUGGAAGGUGAAGGUGGCUGGCAUAUCACAUGAUGAGAAAGGGAGCAAGAGGAAGUGCCAGACUCUUUUUAAGAAUCAGUUGUCAUGGGAACUAAGAGUGAGAACUCACUCGCUCUUGAGAAAAUGGCACCAAGCCAUUCAUGAGGGAUUCAACCUCAUGACCCAACUACCUCCCACCAGACCUUACCUCCAACAUUGGGGAUCACUUUUUCACAUGAGAUUUGGAAAGGACAAAUGUCCAAACUGUACCAACUGCUAUAACAAAAGGCCAUGGACUGGUUUAUUUAUAAAGAACAGAGAUUUAUUUUUCACAGCUCUAGAGGCUGGGAAGUCCAAGAUCAAGGCAGCGGUUGGUUUGGUGUCUGGAGAAGGCCCAUUGCUCAUAGAUGGUACCAUCCAGGUGUCCUUACAUGGAAGAAGGGAUGGAAAGGGGACAAACACUGAGUCCUCAUAUGGCAGAAGAGCAGGAGAAGAAGAGAAAUAAAGAGGAUUGAUCCACUCAUGAGGGUGGGAGCCCUCGUGAUUUAAUCACUUCCCGAAAAGACCCCACCUCUCAAUAUCACCACAAUGGAAGAUCAGUUUCAAUGUGAAUUUUGGAGGGAACACACCUCCAAACCAGAGCAGUGGGCAUUAAAUAAGAUAUGCAUAGACACCCUGGUUCAGGCUCUGACACAAAGCAAAAACUGGACAUCAUGAUAACUACUAUUGUGUUAGAUAGAACAGUCAACUUUGAGGCAGAAUAUCUAGGUUCUAAUCCCAACCCUACAUGACGUCACUGGAUGACCCUGGAAGCUCACAGCCUCCCUAAGCCUCAGUGGCACCGGCAGUAAGAUGGGAUGAGAGGCCUGACUUUACAAGGUUAGGUUGGAAAGGUCGGAAGCUAACAAGUGCGGGAGUCCUGUAUGUUGGGAACCCAGUACAAGUUUGUUAAUGAUCAAAUGGAUAGAUGAAUAAAUGAUGGAUGGAUGGACAAUGAGUGUGAGACAGAUACUCAUUCAAACACACACAUACACACACACACACACACACACACUCCUUCAGAGUAUCAAGACAACAAACUCAUAACUUACCUUGCUGGUUAGCAUUCUCAGUGCAAGGGUUCCAGCCCCCAAGAAUAGACUGGGGCCCAGAGACUCUGAGAGAAGCCUGGAGUCACUGCAGGGCAAAGAUGAGAAGCUGUUUCAUCCAGGACAGUCCUGGGACAGAGAACACUCAAUUUUCCUCUUGAAAAAUAGAAAUACUGUGUGUCUCUCAUGGUCUCCCUGAGCAACUGAGACCCAUCAGGUGCCAGACCCCCCUCUGCCUGUCUCUGUGCCCUUCCCAACCUGUCCUAGGGCCACUACCCAUCCCCCUGUGGAGGGCCCCUGGUUCCCCUGCCUCAUCCACUUACUGGGACAGAGUAGGACCUGACCAUCUCCCUCUACCUGGAGAUUCACAAGAAAAGUAAGGAAGAGGAGAGUUCCAGGGACCCUUGAAAAGGCCACAGCAACUUCCCAUGUUCCUCUUGAACAUCAACUCCAAGUCUAAGGGGCAAGCGAGGUCUGUAUAUGAGCCUUGGCCUUCUUGUUAUUUGGAGUUACCAAGGUGGUAACAACAAUCACGAACUACAUGGCUGUGCUGAGGGAAAGCCAAGCUCAAGUUCUUUCAGGAAAACUGGAGCCAAGCUCCGUACAUUGCAAAGGGGAUUAUCGAAGUGAGGUGCAACCAAAGAUAGAGUGCAAAGAACCUGUUUACCAAGCAGUGACCUGUCCAUCAUCACAAGUGCUGCUUCCCACCACCUUUGCCAGGUAAGCGGGUCGGGACAACCACCCUCAUUUCCAGAGGAAGACUUCAGGUCACAGGUCACACUGCCUGAAAUCGGCAGGGCUGCCUGUGCUGAAAGGUCAGGGACUUCUUUACUCCCCUCUCCUGAAGACCUGCCUCCUACAAACUGUGUGAAACACACUCAUUAUCCAAAUGCUGGGAAUGGCUGCAAAGGACUGCAAACUGGAGUUUCUUUGUGCCUGGCAUUAAUGAUUUCUUCCCCAGUGGAUGCUGAAGGAGGUCGCUAGUUGCUCAGCUUGGUGAAUGUAAUCCCCCUGCCAAAAGAUGAACAGAAGCUGAGGGGGUAGCUAUGUUUGGGCGAGAUCCAGUUCCAAGGCUCCUCUGGGAAGGGAGAAAACAGCCAAGGGGCUGCAGAACAUGUGGGGGCAGUUCUGCAUUCCCCUGGAAGCUCCCCAACCCUGAGGCCCCCACACAUACAGGAUCCCAAGGAGCAAGCCCCAAAGGAUAAGGACCCCAUUUCUACAGAAGCUAGUAUUAUACCCCCAGAAGGCAGCAGAGCUCCUUCAGGGAGACCAGGUGUUCUCUCUUGAUCCCAGCUUUUUUUUUUCCAUUUUGUUGUUUCUUGUACUGCCCCUUUCCUUUCCUGCCCUAGGUGAGUCGGCGUCCUCCUGCCACUUGCCUUCCCAAACGUACACCCAGUGCAAAGCCUGCUGCAGACAGAAGAGGUGCCAGGGGACAACACAGCCCUGGAUAGACACAGUCUCUGGCCUCCUGGACUUGAUAUUUUACUGGAAGAGACACGCAACAAGCAAGUUGGUGACCAAAAAGUAAAAAUAAGAAAUCCAAACUCAGUAAAAUAUCUGAGGAGUUUCCUUCUAAGCCAAAAAUAGUGACCAUGGCCCAUGACACUGCCUCAGGAGGUCUUGAGAACAUGUGCCCAAGAAAGGUCACUUGAGCUAUUGUGCGGAUGGUCAGGAUGAGAGAGGAGAACAUGGAAGCAGAGAAUGAUCUGGAGCCUCUGCAGCUGUCUGGAUGAGAUGGUGUUGGCUUGGCCUGGGUACCAGGGCAGAAGACAAGAAGUGGUCAGAUUCAGCGUUUCCUCAGAGCUAUCUGUCUACUCUAACAAGGUGAGACUUCCAAGGCUAAAUCAUGAAAGACAUCACAGAUUCUACUUAGCCUUCUGUAUCAUUUACUCUGGGGGAAGCUCACUGCCAUACCAUGGGGUUGCUCAAGCAGCUGUGUGGAAAGAAACUGAGAUCCCCUCAGGCAGCAGGCAGCACCGACUCCCCAGCCAUGUGAGUGGGCCACCUUGAGACCAGAUCUUCCAGCCACCAUCAAGUGUCCAGAUGACUCCAAGAAUCAUCAAGCUGCAGCUGACCUCUGAGAGCAAAGGGAAAGACCCCAAGCAAGGACGACUCUGCCAAGCUGUUUCUGAACUCCUCACCCACACAAUCUAGAUGCAUCACAAAUCCCGUUGUUUUAAGCCACUGAGUUUUGGGGUGGCUGGUUUUGCACCCGUAGUAACUGGAACAGCAUGGGAGGAAUACAGAGGUCCCUGAACGUGAUGCUAAGAAGUUUUUAUUAUUAUUUAUAAAACUUAGCACUGAAUGAUUCUCUAAGUGGAGAACUGUGUGAUUCAGCCUCUAUUUCUUAGAGCGGCUGUUCUGACAAUUUGAGAGUUAAUGACAAGAAGAGUGGAGAGAAGGGAAAGGAGCAUUCAGUGAGGAAAGUGACGCUGGUGUAAGACUCCGAGGAGGACCAGGUGCAGUGGCUCCUGAACCACGGAGUCGGAGGUUGCAGUCAGCCAAGAUCCUGCCACUGCACUCCAGCCUGGUGACAAAGCAAGACUCCGUCUCAAGAAAAAAUAAGAAAUACCUGAGGCUGGGUAAUUUAUCAAGCUAUUAAUUGGCUAAUAGCUCUGCAGGCUUUACAGAAAGCAGGGUCUGACAUCUGCUCAGCUUCUAGGGAGGCCCCCGGAAGCCUCCAGUUAUGGCGGAAGGGAAAUGGGGAGCAGGCACACUGCAUGGCCAGAGCCUGAGCGAGAAGGACAGAGAGGGAGCCACUGUGGGGAGAGGGCCCGUGCUUUUAAAUGACCAGUUCUUGUGUGAACUCCAAGUAAGAGCUCUCUUAUCACCAAGGGGAUGACCCAAGCCAUUCAUGAGGGAUCUGCCCCCAUGAUUCAGGCACCUCCCACCAGGCCUAACCUCCAACACUGGGGAUCACAACUUAACAUGAGAUUUGGGCAGGGAUUAAUAUCCAAACUAUGUCAUCGUAUGAUGCCCUGUACUGCCUAGGGACUCUUCAGAAAGUCCCUACUAGCAAGAAGGCCUUCACUAGAUGUACCAUUUGAACUCUGACUUCUCAGCCUUCAGGACUGUAAGAAAUUCCUUUUCUUUGCAAAUUACCCAGUGUCGUAUUCUGGUAUUAGGCCAGGCGCAGUGGCUCAUGCCUGUAAUCCCAGCACUUUGGGAGGCCGAGGUGGGUGGAUCACCUGAGGUCAAGAGUUCGAGACCAGCCUGACCAACAUGGUGAAACCUACUAAAAAUACAAAAUUAGCCAGGCGUGGUGGUACGUGCCUGUAAUCCCAGCUACUUGGGAGGCUAAGGCGAGAGAAUCGCUUUAAACCAGGAGGCAGAGGUUGCAGUGAACCAAGAUCGCACCAUUGCACUCCAGCCUGGGUGAGAAAAGUGAAACUCCGUCCCAAAAAAACAAAAAGUAUUCUGUUAUUUGUUGGUGCAAAAGUGCCAAACUAAUCUAAGCAACAGAAAAUAGACUAAGACACUAGGGCUGGCCAGCUUUCCUCCUGGCUCUUCACCCUGUGUCCUCAUGUGAUGUGGGCUCCCCACCAAGCCUUGUGCCUCUCCAUUGGCCAUUGGAUGAGCUGCCCAAGCCUCACUGAGUCUGGGGCGUGAGUCAGCAUUGCUGGCCCCCUUUGACUGCCUAGGUUUGCGCUAAUCUUCUUUCCCCAAACGCUUCCAACCUUUCAACAAGUCCUCGUGGGUCCACCUCCAGAUUACAGCGACCUCUCUCUCCAUCUUCACUAAGACCUUCUCCAAGCUGCCAUGAGUGUGAUGGCUCACACCUGUAAUCCCAGCCCUUUGAAAGGGCGAGGUGGGCGGAUCACCUGAGGUCAGGAGAUGAAGACCAGCUUGGCCAACGUGGUGAAACCCCAUCUCUACUAAAAAUGCAAAAAUUAGCCAGGCACCAUGGCAGGAACCUGUAAUCUCAGCUAUUCGGGAGGCUGAGGCAGGAGAAUCGUUGGAUUUGCAGUGAGCUAAGAUCGUGCCACUGCACUCCAGUGUGGGUGACAAAGCCAGAUUCCGUCUCAAAAAAAAAAGGAAGGAAGAAAGAAAGAGAAAGGAAAAACUAGACCAUGCUACCCCUGUGCUUAAAGUCCUCUCAAAUGAGCUUAAAAUAUAACUCUACCCCAAGACCUCUGAGACCAUCCAUCUGCCCUAGCUUGCUCUCUUCUUCCUUGACCCUCUCCUAGUUGACCAGUCUGUCCUGGCCAGACUUGGCCUCUUCGUCAUCUUCAAAUGGGCCAGGUUCCCUCCCACCUCAGAACCAUUGCACGUUCUCUUCAAUUCACGUGGAGCCGCCUUCCCCAAAGUUGGAGUCUUUGGAGGGACCCGAUAAAAGCCCUUCUCUUCCCAGCUUGAGUCUGAGCACAUGGAGAAAUAAGACCCAUCAUAAGGACAAAAGAAGCUCAUUACUCCCUUUCAUGAGUCACGAAGUCCAGGUUGGAGGAUGGAGCUUGAUGUAAACACCAAAUGCAACCUCUUCAGCCAGACCUGAGCCCAACCACACGGCACCACAGGCCAGUGUCACCGAGAUAAGACUCAGAGCGGAGUCCUGCACCCCGUGAGCAGCUUGCUGCCAAGCGGGAGAGUUGGUAUUUUGUGUAUUCUCCUGAACUCUACCAGUCAGGUCGGUAGGUCUGCCUGCCCCGGGUGGAGUGAAGAAAGGCAGGGAGACACCAGGUGUGUGAGGCCACUGUGCUACCUAGAGUAAGCACAUCCCCCAGUAAUCAAGGGCUCCAAAUGCCCACUUCAUUCUCAUGUCUCAGAUCUCAGAGAGGCCUUUGCUGAUGCAUUCCCUAUUUUAAAAAAAAAAAAGGACCCCCUGACCCACAUGCACACAUACACACUUGGUCUUUCUUUCAUCUUCACUCCCCGAGUGACAUCUUUGUGUCCAUCACCGCUGGAACAUAAGCACUGUAAGGUCAGCGCCCUGCCCUCCUGUUCACGGCUGCAUCUCCAGGGCCUAGAACAGCAUCUACCGCAUCACCGAGGACCUUUUAAUGAAUUGAAUAGACAAGAGUAGCAAUACCUGAGCCUCAAUCCCAGGUUGUGGCCCGGAGCUGGGAGCUUCAGUCCUCUUCAUUCGGGAAAGUGGUUCUUCCCAGAGCCAGGUCGAGCGGCAGCUCCCACACAAACCCAAGAGGAGGCCUGCUCACGUUGGCGGUGUAAGCUGAGCCACAUCGCGUCCUUGAACAGAGCAGAUGGGUUCUUGUUCCUCCAUGGUGUGGAUGCUGGGAGCCAGGAAGCUCGAGAAAGUCCAUCUGACCUUGGACCCACCAUGGAAUGGAUGUGGACGGAUGUGCCCACCCUGCUUAGAAAAGGUCCUCCAUGUACUCCUUCAUCUCGGAUGAGGUCUCCAUAAGUGCAGAAAAGAAGGUAAAAAUGAAGCUACCGGAAACUGCUGCAUUAACAGAAGCAUAGAUCCUAGAAUGAAGGAGGAGAGAGUCCUACUGUCGUCUGCAUAUUUUAUUCCUCACUCAGAGUCAUGUAAUGAAUUCUUCCCUUGAAAUCAUGGAAGCUGCCCGGUAUGGUGGCUCACACCUGUAAUCUCAGCACUUUGGGAGGCCCAGGCAGAAUCACCUGAGGUCAAGAGUUCGAGACCAGCCUGGCCAACAUGGUGAAACCCCGUCUCUACUAAAAAUACAAAAAAAGUAGCCCAGUCUGGUGGUGGGCGCCUGUAUUCCCAGCUACUUGGGAGGCUGAGGCAGGAGAAUCGCUUGAACCUGGGAGGUGAAGGUUGCAGGGAGCCGAGAUGGCCCCACUGCACUCUAGCCUAGACAACAAGAGUAAAACUAUGUCUCAAAACUAGAAAAUAAAUCAUGGAGGCCUCAGGUCUAGCUGCGUUUGUGGGAAAGGGUCACAGUAGUACCUGUGGGGUGGCAGGAGAGUGAACAGUGGUGGCUUGGGAUGGGAGCCAUGGCAAAAGUGGGCUGCAUUUUGAGAGAGACAGAGACAAAGAAAAGCAUAUUCGGCCUUGGGAAGAUCUCAUGAAUACUUGGGAAAACUGCCAUGAAUCCUGUUGUCAUCCAGGGAAUAUUUAGGUUAGAAAAGCGCCCAAGAGUCCUGCCUUUUCAGUAUGGAGAAGCUAGAAUAAGAACUAGUACCAAAGGGGAGAAAUUAGUUACAAGAGACUGUUUUCAGCUCAGUAUGAGGACGAGCUGUUUAAUAGCAAGAAACCUGCCUGAGAGAGAAAGAACCGCCUUGGAAGGUAGUGAGCUCCCCAUCACUCAAGAUGUGCAGGACUUUAGUAUGCUUAGAAGCUUCUGCUUUUUUGUGGAGAAGCCAUGAGCAUUUGCCACGUGGUUAAAUUAUUUUUAGUUUUCAUUUUCAUGCCUUUCCCCAGUGCUUAGAAGCAUAAGCAGCACAGGAUGAUAUAUUGGGGUUUUUUGGGUUUUUUUUUUUUUUUUUGUGAUGGAGUCUUGCUCUGUAGCCCAGGCUGGAGUGCAGUGGCACCAUCUUGGCUCACUGCAACCUCCGCCUCCUGGGUCCCGGAUCCCAAUUCUUCUUAGAUUCAUCUUCUUAUUAAAAAUCAGAUUCCUCUGUGGCUCAAGCCUGUAAUCCCAGCACUUUGGGAGGCCAAGACGGGUGGAUCACGAGGUCAAGAGAUCGAGACCAUCCCGGUCAACAUGGUGAAACCCCGUCUCUACUAAAAAUACAAAAAAAAAAAAUUAGCUGGGCACGGUGGCACAUGCCUGUUAUCCCAGCUACUCAGGAGGCUGAGGCAGGAGAAUUGCCUGAACCCAGGAGGCGGAGGUUGCGGUGAGCCGAGAUAGUGCCAUUGCACUCCAGCCUGGGUAACAAGAGCGAAACUCCGUCUCAAAAAAAAAAAAAAGGCUCUUAAGAGCAGCAUUUGUCCUAAACAUUUUCCUUCACUCCAGCAUUCCCAGUAGAGUGCUAGCGAUGCAGGAGUUUAAAAACAUCUGUGGUCUGCAUUGAUUUCACAGCAUUUCAAGCUGCCCAUAUACGGGCCGCUGAAUUUAAACAAACAUGGCUUUUGGACAGCAGGCCUUGUCUGAUUAAUAAAAUUAUCAUAAUGUAUUGAGUUUACUUGAUAAUAAGUAAUCACAAUCAACUGAUAAUGAAGUGAAAUACACAGUCAGUUAAUUGAGAAUAACUCGAUUGAAUGAGAGACUUCGUCGCCUGAUUAAAAUUAAUUGUAUUAGUGAGACAGUCUUGGAAUCACACAUGCAAGUAAUUAAAACUUUUCAGGUAAAAAAAAAGAUAAAUUCUCCUGCAUGGUUGUCCAGAAAGAAAAAAAGGAUUAAGGAAAGUGACGAUGCUGUUACCUUUGUUGCAUUGCUUCGAUGGAAGGCUAGAGCUCGGUUAAUUUGAAUGAGCAAAUAUUGAAACUUUCUCACAAAGAGAGCCAUUUAAUCUGGAAGCUCUGGGGAGGUUUCACUAACUGAGGAUCUGGGUUGGAGAAAAUGCAAACUGGGCACGUUAUAGAACGUGUUAAGCAAUGGACGGGUUACCAACUCAGGUCCCGGAUGCCCUGCUUGGUCAACUCAGAAGAUCCUACAGGUGUCCAGAUCCUAGGGCCAGCUCUAUCCACGCUUCCCAGUCUUCAGUGCAAGAAGAGUCACCAGGAUUCUUGUUAAAAUACAGAUUCUGAUGCUAAAUCAAGGAAGGAGCAUGGGGCUCUGCAUUUCUAACAAGCUCCUAGGUGAUGGACCACACCGUGAGAGCAAGGGUCUCUAACACAGCACGUCAGACCAUGCUCAGCAGUCAGCUCUGUUCCUACAACUUCAGAAACAUUGUAUGGAGACAGAGAACCAGUCAGCAGAGGCUCCUUUGGCCAGAGUUUUACGUGAGCAUGGCAGGCUAUCCAGUAACUAUUCACAGUUCCCAAACGAGUCUUCCUCAUUCUCAUCUGUGAGCCUUUCCACAUACUCCUGUCUGCAUGGAAUGCACUGGACCCAAAAAGGAGCCAGGGACCUGAAGUCAAGCCACAGAGACAAACUCUGGCCUAUUUCAGGCCAGGCACGGUGGCUCACGCCUGUAAUCCCAGCACUUUGGGAGGCCAAGGCGGGUGGAUCACAAGGUCAGGAGUCCGAGGUCAGCCUGGCCAACAUGGCGAAACCCUGUCUUUACUGAAAAUACAAAACUUAGCUGCGUGUGGUGGUGUGCCUGUAAUCCCAUGUCAGCUCCAGUAGGCUGUGAGUCCCGAGGACAGAACUCCCACUUUUACGUCAGUGCCUGACCCAGCACAGGACUCAGGGCUCAAUCAAGCCUAAAUGAAGAGGGGAAAGAGCUCACCUGCCAGUCAACGCCACUCUUCCCAGAAACCAGCAAAUGGACAUGGUACUGGGAGCAGAAGAAAGCAGACUGAGGUGAGAAGCGGGUGGAGGGAUGAGUUCAAGCUGCCUGGGACGCUGCAAACAAGGUGGGGCAGAUGACCAGAAACCGGCAUCUCCGAAGCGGUCAGGAGAAGGCAUCGCCCUGGCAGAGCAGCCUGUAGCCACUGUGAAUAUGCUAGACCUGUCAAAAGCACGUGAUAGAUCUUCCACAUAAAUUAUGAAACAUAGCACGGUUCUGUUUGCUCUUUGUCUGUAAAAAAAAUCUCAAAUUUCUAAAAAGAUGGAAUAUUAAAACUUGUCACUAGCCUGUCUAAGUCUUCUCUUCUUAUCAUCCCUACCUCCUCACACCAAAAGCAAAAACUUCAGCGGAACCAAAGACUCCUCUCAUUCCUCAUUUAAGUUCAGGUCCUAUUUAAGCUGA